AUUGAACGCUGGCGGCGUGCCUAACACAUGCAAGUCGAGCGGUAACAGGUGUAGCAAUACAUGCUGACGAGCGGCGAACGGGUGAGUAAUGCUUCGGAAUCUACCUUAUGGUGGGGAAUAACUAGCCGAAAGGUUAGCUAAUACCGCAUACGUCCUACGGGAGAAAGCAGGGGAUCGCAAGACCUUGCGCCAAAAGAUGAGCCGAAGUCGGAUUAGCUAGUUGGUGGGGUAACGGCCUAGCAAGGCGACGAUCCGUAGCUGGUCUGAGAGGACGACCAGCCACCCGGGGACAGAGACACGGCCCAGACUACUACGGGAGGCAGCAGUGGGGAAUAUUGGACAAUGGGGGAAACCCUGAUCCAGCGACGCCGCGUGUGUGAAGAAGGCCUGCGGGUUGUAAAGCACUUUUAGUGGGGAUGAAAUGUGCAGGGUUAAUACCUCUGCAUUUUGACCUAACCCACAGAAAAAGCACCGGCUAACUCUGUGCCAGCAGCCGCAGUAA
rnacentral:rRNA from 1 species